rnacentral:rRNA from 1 species
GGCCUGGGCUACACACGUGCUACAAUGGUCGGUACAGAGGGUUGCCAAGCCGCGAGGUGGAGCUAAUCUCACAAAACCGAUCGUAGUCCGGAUCGCAGUCUGCAACUCGACUGCGUGAAGUCGGAAUCGCUAGUAAUCGCGAAUCAAAAUGUCGCGGUGAAUACGUUCCCGGGCCUUGUACACACCGCCCGUCACACCAUGGGAGUGGGUUGCACCAGAAGUAGCUAGUCUAACCUUCGGGAGGACGGUUACCACGGUGUGAUUCAUGACUGGGGUGAAGUCGUAACAAGGUAGCCGUAGGGGAACCUGCGG